UAUGGAGGAUCCGAGCGUUAUCCGGAAUCAUUGGGUUUAAAGGGUCCGUAGGCGGGCCAUUAAGUCAGGGGUGAAAGUCUGCGGCUCAACCGUAGAAUUGCCCUUGAUACUGGUGGUCUUGAGUUAUGGUGAAGUGGCCGGAAUAUGUAGUGUAGCGGUGAAAUGCAUAGAUAUUACAGAGAACACCGAUUGCGAAGGCAGGUCACUAACCGUAUACUGACGCUGAUGGACGAAAGCGUGGGGAGCGAACAGG
rnacentral:rRNA from 1 species